CUGCUGCCUUCCGUAGGAGUUUGGGCCGUGUCUCAGUCCCAAUGUGGCCGUUCACCCUCUCAGGCCGGCUACUGAUCGUCGCCUUGGUGGGCCGUUACCCCUCCAACCAGCUAAUCAGACGCGGGUCCAUCCUGUACCACCGGAGUUUUUCACACUGUACCAUGCGGUACUGUGCGCUUAUGCGGUUUUAGCACCUAUUUCUAAGUGUUAUCCCCCUGUACAGGGCAGGUUACCCACGCGUUACUCACCCGUCCGCCACUAAGAUAAACAGG
rnacentral:rRNA from 1 species